ensembl:lncRNA
GCCCCGGGCGGGCUCCACACCCACCUGCUUCCCUCGGCGGCUCCGGCUCCACUGAGCCGGAGGGUCCGCGGCCCCGCGGGCGCCGCGCACGGGGCGGCGGGGAAAGCCCGGGGCGCCCCGGCCAGGAUGCGCUUGGAGGCUUCGCGGGAUUCCCUGGACCCCUCUGUUUUCGGCCGCGGAGUUAUCCCCCGGCCCUCCCCACACACCCCUGACCCUGGCCCGCUGCUCGACCCCGGGGGACUGGGGAGAGGAGAGCCAGCUCCUGAGUGAUGACCCGGAGUAUCCCCAGGGAAGGAGCGCGCGGGUAACGAGGAGCGCAGAGAGGAUCCGACUUUCCUCCGAGCUCCUCCAGCUCUAUUUGGGGGCCGUCGCCAGCUCCAUAAUCCCCGCUUUCCCAGAGAACUGUGCCAAGUUCCUCCUUGGAGAGGCAGCCAGAUGGACACCCAGAACUUUCCGUAUCUUCGUGUCGAGACUGCAACUCUAUACAGAAAAGAAAAAGGCAAAUGCACCUCACAGAGAACUGGGACACUGUGAAUCAUCUACUUUUGAAUUCUUAAAAUUGGAAAUUAGAAACUUAUGAAGGAUUUGUAGCUAUGCUUGGG